CCCUUAGAUGUUCUGGGCCGCACGCGUGCUACACUGAGUGGAUCAGCGGGUCAGGUUGCGCGAAAGUGUUUCCUAAUCUUGAAAUCCGCUCGUGAUGGGGAUUGACGGUUGCAAUUUUCCGUCAUGAACGAGGAAUACCUUGUAAGCGCGGGUCAUCAUCCCGCGCUGAAUACGUCCCUGCCCUUUGUACACACCGCCCGUCGCUCCUACCGAUUGACUGGUCCGGUGAGGCUUUGGGAUCUGAGCGGAAAGAGCGUUUCGCUGUUUCUGCUCGGAAAACUCAGUCGAACCUUAUCAUUUAGAGGAAGGAGAAGUCGUAACA
rnacentral:rRNA from 1 species